rnacentral:miRNA from 1 species
AAUCACAGUGCUUUCGUCCAGC